UUACCUACGGGACGCAGCAGUGGGGGAUAUUGCACAAUGGAGGAAACUCUGAUGCAGCGACGCCGCGUGAGGGAAGACGGUCUUCGGAUUGUAAACCUCUGUCUUUGGGGAAGAAAAUGACGGUACCCAAAGAGGAAGCUCCGGCUAACUACGUGCCAGCAGCCGCGGUAAUACGUAGGUGGCAAGCGUUGUCCGGAUUUACUGGGUGUAAAGGGCGUGUAGCCGGGUUGACAAGUCAGAUGUGAAAUCCUGCGGCUUAACCGCAGAACUGCAUUUGAAACUGUUGAUCUUGAGUACUGGAGAGG
rnacentral:rRNA from 1 species